rnacentral:rRNA from 1 species
GAAGCGAACGCGGUGAACUGAAACAUCUAAGUAACCGCAGGAAAAGAAAUCAACCGAGAUUCCCAAAGUAGUGGCGAGCGAAAUGGGAUGAGCCUUGCACUCUUUAUUUGUAUUGUUAGCCGAACGCUCUGGAAAGUGCGGCCAUAGCAGGUGAUAGCCCUGUAGGCGAAAACAGUAUGAAAGAACUAGGUGUGCGACAAGUAGGGCGGGACACGUGAAAUCCUGUCUGAAGAUGGGGGGACCAUCCUCCAAGGCUAAAUACUCGUGAUCGACCGAUAGUGAACCAGUACCGUGAGGGAAAGGCGAAAAGAACCCCGGGAGGGGAGUGAAAUAGAUCCUGAAACCGCAUGCAUACAAACAGUCGGAGCCUCGCAAGGGGUGACGGCGUACCUUUUGUAUAAUGGGUCAGCGACUUACGUUCAGUAGCAAGCUUAACCGUAUAGGGCAGGCGUAGCGAAAGCGAGUCCGAAUAGGGCGUUCAGUUGCUGGGCGUAGACCCGAAACCAGGUGAUCUAUCCAUGGCCAGGAUGAAGGUGCGGUAACACGUACUGGAGGUCCGAACCCACUAACGUUGAAAAGUUAGGGGAUGAGCUGUGGAUAGGGGUGAAAGGCUAAACAAACCUGGAAAUAGCUGGUUCUCUCCGAAAACUAUUUAGGUAGUGCCUCGUGUCUCACCUUCGGGGGUAGAGCACUGUCAUGGUUGGGGGGUCUAUUGCAGAUUACCCCGCCAUAGCAAACUCCGAAUACCGAAGAGUGCAAUCACGGGAGACAGACAUCGGGUGCUAACGUCCGGUGUCAAGAGGGAAACAACCCAGACCGCCAGCUAAGGUCCCCAAAUAUAGCUAAGUGGGAAACGAAGUGGGAAGGCUAAAACAGUCAGGAGGUUGGCUUAGAAGCAGCCACCCUUUAAAGAAAGCGUAAUAGCUCACUGAUCGAGUCGUCCUGCGCGGAAGAUGUAACGGGGCUAAGCUAUAUACCGAAGCUGCGGAUGCG